UGGGGCAUAGCUCAGUGAUAGAGCACUUGCCUAGCAUGCAUGAGAACCUGGGUUUCAUCCUAGCACUGCAA
rnacentral:tRNA from 1 species